GACUUUCCAGCUGGAGAGGAAUUCUACACUGUCACACUUGCACCACGUCAUCGAUAACAAGCCAAUCACAUUUCUUCUUUUCAAACAAAAGUACAAUAAAAAUAUUUUUUUACAAUCAUGAUGGGACAUAUAUUCUUAAAAGGAUUAAUUUGAUUGGUUUGUUACGCCACGUCACUAAUAUACCCGUUGUAUUCUAGAAUUUUUCCCAGCUGGAAUGGC
rnacentral:lncRNA from 1 species